UCGGCCUCCGCAGCCGCACUCAUCCCCGCCGGCACUAACGCGGCCUGACAUGGCCCUUGCACGCGGCGCCCCCCCCAGAAGCCGUUAGGGGCCGCCCGCCCUUUCUGCGGGUGCUAAUUGGCUCUGUGAUGGGCCCGCGGUCACCGCUCGGUCAGCCGUGGCUGACACUAUCUCCCAGCCUGUCCCCCCAAGGGCUCCGCCAUCCGCUCCGCUCAGCCUCGCCGGGCCGCUGAACCGUGAAUGCGUGGCCGCGAGGGACUAGGCCACGUGAGGCCCUAGCAUGGUCUCCCCUCCCCCACACCACACAGCUCCAGCCUUUGAUGGAGAACCCUUCCCAGAAUGCCUCUGGGUCCCCAGGCUCGGGAAGGAGAUCCCGCCGUCCUCCAAACAGCUGCUGCAGUCCUCCUCCUCCUCCUCCUCUCCCAAGGAUCCUCCUGGAAAAAGCUCCCUCCCCGGCCAGCCGUGGCCUGGGAUCUCUGGGAGAGCAGAUCUCUCCGCGUGCUCAGCAGUGAACCCCAAAGGCCCCACGGCCCCCAGAACCGGGCAGGACGGACCUCGCCUUCCCGGGUCUUCCCCCUCAGCAGAGACCACUGCCUCUUUACGUCACAGAUGAGGAAACAAAGUCAGAGAGCUGUGGAGUCCUAGAAUCUCUGCCGAGCCCACCCCUUCUCAGAGAGGAAUCCCCCAUUAGAACAAACCUGAGGAUCCACCCUCCAGAUUGGGCUUGAAGGCCUCCAACUGCCUCUUGAGCCUGAGAUCUCAUUAGAUUUUUUUUUAAUCAUUACUGAGCUUGAGGUCCACUAAAACCCCCAGUUCUUUUUCAGACACCUUUCCCCAAUCUUGUACUUGUCAUGAUGGCUUUUUUAACCCAAAUAAAAGACAUUUAUCCUUA